AUAUGGUCAAGCGAAAAAGGGUCUACGGAGGAUGCCUAGGAGCUGCCAGGCGAAGAAGGACGUGAUUAGCUGCGAAAAGCCGGGGGGAGGAGCCAAUAUCCCACGAUCCCCGGGUCUCCGAAUGGGGUAACCCGUUUGUCUGGAUGACAAACAUCUAUACAUGAAUCAAUAGUGUAUAGAAGAAAGACGCAGGGAAGUGAACCAUCUAAGUACCUGCAGGAAAAGAAAUCUACUGAGAUUCCCAUAGUAGCGGCGAGCGAAGUGGGAAGAGCCCAAACCAAUUAUAGCAAUAUAGUUGGGGUUGUAGGACAUAUCUUGAGCGCAAGCUCGUGAAGUAAGAAAACUAAAGGUUAGCAGAACUGUUUUGGGAAAGCAGACCAAAGAGGGUGAAAGUCCUGUAUGCGAAAACCUGAAGACUUCAUGGGAUAUGAUCCUGAGUACGACGGGACACGAGGAAUCCUGUCGGAAGCAGGGGGGACCACCCUCCAAGGCUAAAUACUCGGCAGCUACCGAUAGCGCAUAGUACCGUGAGGGAAAGGUGAAAAGAACCCCGGGAGGGGAGUGAAAGAGAACCUGAAACCGUAGACUUACAAGCGGUCAAAGCCAAGCAAUUGGUGAUGGCGUGCCUUUUGUAGAAUGAGCCUGCGAGUUACCGUAUGUAGCAAGGUUAAGGGAUAGGAGUCCCGGAGCCGUAGGGAAACCGAGUCUGAAUAGGGCGCUAAGUUGCAUGCGGUAGACCCGAAGCCAAGUGAUCUAUCCAUGGCCAGGCUGAAGCCUCAGUAAAAUGAGGUGGAGGGCCGAACCUAAAUCCGCUGAAAAGGGUUGGGAUGAGCUGUGGAUUGGAGC
rnacentral:rRNA from 1 species